rnacentral:rRNA from 1 species
AUAGCCUAACGGCUGAACCAGCAACUUGGAGGAAUGUAUAGCGCAAGCUAAUUGCACUGGCCUUUGGCUGGUGCAAGAUCGACCAUGUUGAAUAAAGUUCUAGGUAGAGUUAUGAUAAUGACAUUUUCUAUCUAUGUGUCUUGACCAAGUCACGUGCCAGCAGUCGCGGUAAUACGUGGAAGACUAGUGUUAUUCAUCUUUAAUCGGUUUAAAGGGUACCUAGACGGUUAAUCAAACCCCCCCUACGGGGGGUAUUAAUUGACUAGAGUUUUAUAUGAGGAGGGGAGUACUAAAGAGUGUAGAGAUGAAAUUCUGUGAUACCUGCCUUGGAACAGGCAACGGCGAAGGCAACCUUUUAUGUAAAAACUGACGUUGAAGGACGAAGGCUUAGGACACCAACAGGAUUAGAUACCCCAGCAGUCUAAGCAGACAAUGAUGAAUGUCAUAGAUUAGAAUUAUAAUUUUGUCUAUAAAUGAAAGUGUAAGCAUUCCACCUCAAGAGUAAUGUGGCAACGCAGAAACUGAAAUCAUUAGACCGUUUCUGAAACCAGUAGUGAAGUAUGUUGGUUAAUUUGAUGUUCGCAAAACACCUUACCACAAUU